GAUAAGAGUUCAUAACGAUUUCCAAAUUUGCAAAAUCUCUCUCCCUCGUAUUCUUUUCCGCAAAGCAACUACAACUCUCUCUCAUCAAUGGCUUUUUGUUAUCGUUGGUGGCAUGCACCAAUCUACUUCACCAUCUCAGUAGUCUUGGCAUUCAUAGCCAUCUCCACUGCCCUGAAUUCUCCAUCCAGCUACGACACAACACCACCAACCAGACCCAUCAGCCACCAUCUCUCACUCAACGCAUCAAUCGCUUUAAGGAGAUCUGGUUUCAAUAUCAUGUCUACCCUUCUCCUAAUCUCCCCUGAAAUAUUCCUUUUAUCUCCCAGCUCCACCAUCUUUGCCAUCAAAGACUCUUCCCUCGUCAAUGCUUCCCUUUCUCCAUGGUUCUUG
rnacentral:misc_RNA from 1 species